GACGAAGGUGGCAAGCGUUGUUCGGAUUCACUGGGCAUAAAGGGCGCGUAGGCGGUUCCGAAGGUGGCGCGUGAAGUCCCCCGGCUCAACCGGGGAACGGCGCGCCAAACCGCUGUUCUCGAGGGCGGUAGGGGGUGCUGGAACUCUCGGUGGAGCGGUGAAAUGCGUAGAUAUCGAGAGGAACACCGGUGGCGAAGGCGAGCACCUGGUCCGCUUCUGACGCUGAGGCGCGAAAGCGUGGGUAGCAAACAGG
rnacentral:rRNA from 1 species